CAGCCGCACGGGAACACGGAGGGUGCAAGCGUUAAUCGGAAUUACUGGGCGUAAAGCGCACGCAGGCGGUCUGUCAAGUCAGAUGUGAAAUCCCCGGGCUUAACCUGGGAACUGCAUUUGAAACUGGCAGGCUAGAGUCUUGUAGAGGGGGGUAGAAUUCCAGGUGUAGCGGUGAAAUGCGUAGAGAUCUGGAGGAAUACCGGUGGCGAAGGCGGCCCCCUGGACAAAGACUGACGCUCAGGUGCGAAAGCGUGGGGAGCAAACAGGAUUAGAUACCCCUGUAGUCCCUGUCUCUUAUACA
rnacentral:rRNA from 1 species